rnacentral:rRNA from 1 species
UACGUAGGGUGCAAGCGUUAUCCGGAUUUAUUGGGCGUAAAGGGCUCGUAGGCGGUUCGUCGCGUCCGGUGUGAAAGUCCAUCGCUUAACGGUGGAUCCGCGCCGGGUACGGGCGGGCUUGAGUGCGGUAGGGGAGACUGGAAUUCCCGGUGUAACGGUGGAAUGUGUAGAUAUCGGGAAGAACACCAAUGGCGAAGGCAGGUCUCUGGGCCGUUACUGACGCUGAGGAGCGAAAGCGUGGGGAGCAAAUAGG